ACAACAUUUGGACCGUCGGUCUACCGAGUAAUAUCACCCGCUCGGUGGAAGAUCUCCCGUUUGUCGU
rnacentral:pre_miRNA from 1 species